rnacentral:rRNA from 1 species
CUUCUGGACUGACACUGACACUGAGGUGCGAAAGCGUGGGUAGCAAACAGGAUUAGAUACCCUGGUAGUCCACGCCGUAAACGAUGUCGACCAGCCGUUGGGUGCCUAGCGCACUUUGUGGCGAAGUUAACGCGAUAAGUCGACCGCCUGGGGAGUACGGCCGCAAGGUUAAAACUCAAAUGAAUUGACGGGGGCCCGCACAAGCGGUGGAGCAUGUGGUUUAAUUCGAUGCAACGCGAAGAACCUUACCUACUCUUGACAUCCUGCGAACUUGUGAGAGAUCACUUGGUGCCUUCGGGAACGCAGAGACAGGUGCUGCAUGGCUGUCGUCAGCUCGUGUUGUGAAAUGUUGGGUUAAGUCCCGUAACGAGCGCAACCCUUGUCCUUAUUUGCCAGCGCGUAAUGGCGGGAACUCUAAGGAGACUGCCGGUGACAAACCGGAGGAAGGUGGGGACGACGUCAAGUCAUCAUGGCCCUUACGAGUAGGGCUACACACGUGCUACAAUGGCCGGUACAAAGGGUUGCGAGCUCGCGAGAGUCAGCUAAUCCCGAAAAGCCGGUCUCAGUCCGGAUCGGAGUCUGCAACUCGACUCCGUGAAGUCGGAAUCGCUAGUAAUCGUGAAUCAGAAUGUCACGGUGAAUACGUUCCCGGGCCUUGUACACACCGCCCGUCACACCAUGGGAGUGGACUGCACCAGAAGUGGUUAGCUUAACCUUCGGGAAAGCGAUCACCACGGUGUGGUUCAUGACUGGGGGAAGUCGUAACAAAG